CAAUAGCGUAUAUUAAAGUUGUUGCAGUUAAAAAGCUCGUAGUUGAAUUUUUGCUUGCCGCCGAUGUCGGAACUUCCGUACGUUCGGCGGCGUGCAUCCUUGGGUGGAACCUGUGUGGCAUUAGGUUGUCGUGCAGGGGAUGCUCAUCGUUUACUGUGAAAAAAUUAGAGUGUUCAAAGCAGGCUUACGCCGUUGAAUAUAUUAGCAUGGAAUAAUAAGAUAGGACCUUGGUACUAUUUUGUUGGUUUGCGCACCGAGGUAAUGAUUAACAGGGACAGUUGGGGGUAUUCGUAUUCCAUUGUCAGAGGUGAAAUUCUUGGAUUUCUGGAAGACGAACUACUGCGAAAGCAUUUACCAAGGAUGUUUACAUUAA
rnacentral:rRNA from 1 species